rnacentral:rRNA from 1 species
UACGUAGGGUGCAAGCGUUUAAUCGGAAUUACUGGGCGUAAAGCGUGCGCAGGCGGCUUUGCAAGACAGAUGUGAAAUCCCCGGGCUUAACCUGGGAACUGCAUUUGUGACUGCAUGGCUGGAGUGCGGCAGAGGGGGAUGGAAUUCCGCGUGUAGCAGUGAAAUGCGUAGAUAUGCGGAGGAACACCGAUGGCGAAGGCAGUCCCCUGGGCCUGCACUGACGCUCAUGCACGAAAGCGUGGGGAGCAAACAGG